CCUACGGGUGGCAGCAGUGAGGAAUCUUGGUCAAUGGGCGCGAGCCUGAACCAGCCAAGUAGCGUGAAGGAUGACUGCCCUACGGGUUGUAAACUUCUUUUAUAAAGGAAUAAAGUGAGGCACGAGUGCCUUUUUGUAUGUACUUUAUGAAUAAGGAUCGGCUAACUCCGUGCCAGCAGCCGCGGUAAUACGGGGGAUCCGAGCGUUAUCCGGAUUUAUUGGGUUAAAAGGGUGCGUAGGCGGAUCGUUAAGUCAGUGGUCAAAGUGAGGGGCUCAACCCCUUCGCGCCAGUGAAACUGGCGGUCUAGAGUGGAAGAGAAGUAUGCGGAAUGCGUGGUGUAGCAGUGAAAUGCGUAGAUAUCGCGCAGAACCCCGAUUGCGAAGGCAGCAUGCCGGCUUCCGACUGACGCUGAAGCACGAAGGCGUGGGGAUCGAACAGGAUUAGAUACCCGGGUAGUC
rnacentral:rRNA from 1 species